rnacentral:rRNA from 1 species
AAAACCCCGAACAUGUGUAUGAANUCCNAACUCCANUGAAUUAAUUAUUCUCUNUUGUGGNGGGUCNAACNCGGANGCCCCGACUGUUUACUAAAACACAGCUAUCUGCAACGAUGUAAAUGAUAGUAUAGGUAGUGAGGUUUGCCCGAUGCCAUUAAUAUAAGAGAAGUGAUGGGUAACUGUUANUUAUCGAAAAUCUGGUUAAUAGCGGUCUUAACUAUGAGGAUCCUAAGGUAGCAAAAUAAAUUGGCCAUUAAAUGUGGUCCGGUAUCAAUAAUNUAACGAUGGNUUCACUGUCUCUACAACUUGCUCAGUGAAAUUGAAUUACCCGUGCAGAU